GCGGUGCCAGGCUGUAUAGGAGGAGUGGCACAGUGGGGGAGACGCCAUUAUCCCUCUUUCCCUCUGCAGCUGCUCAUUGCUCGCCAUUGUUUUUUUUUUAGCUAGCCAUGUUGGCCGAAGAGGAUACGAAAGACGAAACCAUGGUGGAGGAGGCCUCUGCCAGCGAGGCCGAGGGCGGCGCACCUGGCGAAGGCGGCAAGAUUAACGCCAGCAAGGCCGAGGAUGACGAGGGUGGCUCCUCAUCUGACCCGCCGUUGACUGAUGAUGCGGCAGUGACACAACAAGGUGAGGGACGUGACGACGACAGGAAGAUGUUUAUUGGCGGUCUUAGCUGGGACACUACAAAGAAAGAUUUAAAGGAUUACUUUUCAAAAUUUGGAGAAGUUGUAGACUGCACUUUGAAAUUAGAUCCAAUCACCGGACGCUCCAGAGGCUUUGGCUUUGUAUUAUUUAAAGAGUCAGAAGGUGUAGACAAGGUGAUGGAACACAAAGAUCACAAACUGAAUGGCAAAGUCAUCGAUCCAAAAAGGGCAAAGGCAAUGAAGACAAAGGAACCAGUGAAGAAGAUAUUUGUUGGAGGUUUAUCACCAGACACACCAGAAGACAAAAUAAGGGAAUACUUUGGGACAUUUGGGGAGGUUGAAGCAAUUGAGCUGCCCAUGGACAACAAGACUAACAAAAGGCGAGGGUUCUGUUUCAUCACAUUUACGGAAGAAGAGCCAGUGAAAAAAAUCAUGGAAAAGAAAUACCAUAAUAUUGGCUUAAGUAAAUGUGAAAUUAAACUAGCACUUUCAAAGGAACAGUAUCAGCAACAACAGCAGCAGUGGGGAGUAAGAGGCGGAGGGUCUUCAACGAGGUCCAGAGGAAGAGGAGGAGCUUCAAACCAGAGCUGGAACCAGGGAUACAGUAGUUAUUGGAAUCCAAGCUACAGUAGUUAUGGAUACAACAACCAGGGCUAUGGAGGCUAUGGAAACUAUGACUACACUGGAUAUAACAACUACUAUGGCUAUGGAGAUUACAGUAAUAUUUUUCAUUUUUUAGAUCAGCAGAGUGGUUAUGGGAAAACAGCCAGACGAGGUGGUCAUCAAAAUAGUUACAAACCAUACUAAAUUAUUCCCUUUCCAACGUGUCACAAACAGCGGGGAAUUCAUUGCAGGCCCUGUGUCGCGCUGACUUCACGAUUCUCACAGGCCCGCUCAAUGCGGACAGGGUACGAGAUGCUCACGCUCUCGAAUGCUGCCGUUUGGUGGACAAACAGUAUUUUCUGGGUUGAAGAUUCAUUUGAGGUGGCUCAUUCUGCAUGCAUAUAGCAGUGCAUCUUUAUAUAUUUUUGCCCCCUCCCCCUCCUUUGUGUUUUUAUUUAAUUUUUAAUGAGCCUUCUAAACAGGAAGUAGCUUUCCUAAUUUCUUGAAUUUAACUAGUCUUAUUUUAUGAUGGCUUUGCUUAUUCAGUUGUGUUCACAUUAUUUCACCAGCAUGGAAGAUAAAAACAUGUGUUUAAAAGCCUUGUAUGCCCAACAUCAUGAUGUAGCUUGACCCCAUUUUCUUCAUAAUAAAAUUUCCUUUACUUUUGUAAAAUA